rnacentral:rRNA from 1 species
CUNNNNNCNUGCCUAUACUGCAGUCNAGCGAUGGAUUANUUNUUGCUCUUAUGAAGUUAGCGGCGGACGGGUGAGUAACACGUGGGUAACCUGCCCAUAAGACUGGGAUAACUCCGGGAAACCGGGGCUAAUACCGGAUAACAUUUUGAACCGCAUGGUUCGAAAUUGAAAGGCGGCUUCGGCUGUCACUUAUGGAUGGACCCGCGUCGCAUUAGCUAGUUGGUGAGGUAACGGCUCACCAAGGCAACGAUGCGUAGCCGACCUGAGAGGGUGAUCGGCCACACUGGGACUGAGACACGGCCCAGACUCCUACGGGAGGCAGCAGUAGGGAAUCUUCCGCAAUGGACGAAAGUCUGACGGAGCAACGCCGCGUGAGUGAUGAAGGCUUUCGGGUCGUAAAACUCUGUUGUUAGGGAAGAACAAGUGCUAGUUGAAUAAGCUGGCACCUUGACGGUACCUAACCAGAAAGCCACGGCUAACUACGUGCCAGCAGCCGCGGUAAUACGUAGGUGGCAAGCGUUAUCCGGAAUUAUUGGGCGUAAAGCGCGCGCAGGUGGUUUCUUAAGUCUGAUGUGAAAGCCCACGGCUCACCGUGGAGGGUCAUNGGAANCUGGGAGACUUGAGUGCAAAAAAGAAAGUGGAUUCCNUGUGUAGCGGUGAAUGCGUAAAAUNUGGAGGAACCCNGUGGCNANGCNAUUUCUGUCUGUACUGACCUGAGNCNNAAAGNUGGGGAGAAAAAGAUUANAUCCCUGGUAUCCCNCCUAACNAAANNNUAAUGUUAANGNUCCCCNUUAUGUNAAUACCCNUAACNCCCNGGGGANCGCCCAGNUAAANNAANAUUNGGGNCCC